GGGGGCAUGGUUUAAUGGUAGAAUUCUUCUCUCCAAAAGAAGAGGUCAGGGUUCGAUUCCUUGUGCCCCUG
rnacentral:tRNA from 1 species